AAUGAACGCUGGCGGCGUGCCUAACACAUGCAAGUCGUACGAGAAAGGGGCUUCGGCCCUGAGUAGAGUGGCGCACGGGUGAGUAACGCGUGGGUAAUCUGCCCUUGGAUUUGGAAUAACUCCGCGAAAGUGGAGCUAAUACCGGAUGGUCUGGCUUUUUAACGAAGUCGGUAAAGGAUGCCUCUGCAUAUGCAUUCGUCCGAGGAUGAGCCCGCGUCUCAUUAGCUAGUUGGUAGGGUAAUGGCCUACCAAGGCAACGAUGAGUAGCUGGUCUGAGAGGAUGAUCAGCCACACUGGAACUGAAACACGGUCCAGACUCCUACGGGAGGCAGCAGUGGGGAAUAUUGCGCAAUGGGCGAAAGCCUGACGCAGCAACGCCGUGUGAGGGAUGAAGGCUUUCGGGUCGUAAACCUCUGUCAGAAGGGAAGAACGGAUGUUGGUCUGAUAGGCCUUCAUUUUGACGGUACCUUCAGAGGAAGCACCGGCUAACUCCGUGCCAGCCGCCGCCGUAA
rnacentral:rRNA from 1 species